AAGGGCUCAGUGCUGAUCCUAACACAUGAAUUACAGUCAGCAAUUAUCAGGACUUUAUAGGCAUCGGACAGUUCUUAUCAAACUUUUCAUCAGCACAAUCUAUAAAUUAAUUAAUACCGAACGGAAUCAAAUCUUUGAAACAGAAUUUCUGAAUGACCAUAGAGAAGCAGAUGGCUUUACAUGGUCGAGGUUGAAGCAAACUGCUCUUCUUACUGGCCUAGUCCGUCUACUUCCUUUGUGGUUGGUGGACAUAACAGGAAGUUGAUUAAUCACCAGAUGAACAUCAGGUUCUGCUUAUGACGGGGCAUGUCCUUAGAUGGGUAGCAGCACCAUGAUCCUACACAACUCUGUCUUCUUCUGUAUGAUCUGCAGACAUGUUUCUUCUCUGCUGCCUUCUCUCUGCUCUCAUCAGAGUAUCCACACCAUGUCAGUCCAGCCUGUGUCUGGUUGGCGUCGUCGGGCAGAACAUCACGUUGCCGUGCUGGUACAACAGACAUUCCAGCGGGAUUCUCAACGUGUGCUGGGGGCGGGAGACCCUGCCCGCAUUCAAGUGCUCCGGGACCAUCGUCUCCAUCCAGGGAGGCAGGGUCACGGACCGAUCCUCCCCCAGGUACGUGCUCCUCAGUGGGAGAGAAGAGGGCAACGUGUCCCUGACCAUCCUCCAUGCUCGGGAGAGUGACUCGGGCGUGUACGGCUGCAGAGUGGAGAUCCCAGGGUGGUUCAACGACCUCAAGAUCAACAUCCACCUCACCAUGGAUUCGGACAGUACAUUGCAACAUGAAUCUGACCAGAAAUCUGUUGCCGUAGUGUCGGCUCGCCUGGACCCCAUCACCAUGUCAACCGCAAGGCCGAGGGACAAGGUACAAGAGAUAUUGACACUGGGAGUUGAAUCUGACAGCUUGCUCAGCCAUCAGGGACAGCAAAAGGUGACCGUGUUGUUGAUGCAUUCAGCGAAGACGGCUGCCAUCUUCCUGAUCCCACUGGCAGCAAUCCUGGUCUUCAUCCUGGGGAGAUGGAGAAGACAGAGACUGGAGAUGACACCUGGCCAGGAGGAGAACAUCUACGAAGACAUGCAAUCGUUUGCCAGACAGGGAACUGUCACCAGUCAAUCUCUGACCGCACAACUGAGUAAUGUCAGCAGCCAGUCUCCUGGGAGAUAGGGCAGUGUGACAAGAUUGAGAGAAUAAAUCGGUUUUAUUUUAUUUUAAAUUUUCAGUGCUGAGCAGAGGUAGCCUAUAGGAUCAUCGCUCUUUAACCCUCAGAGCUUUGUUACCAGCUUCAGUAGAGAUGAGGCUUCUACACGGAAGGUCAGGAGUUCAAGCUUUCACACAGGUACAACGUACACGCUUUGUUAUCUGUGAAGAGUGUUCCCUAAUUCACCACGACGGAGAACACAUUUCAACUCUUAUUUGUUUAUCAGAGAGAUUAAGGAAGGAAAUAUCAACACAUAGGCUGCAGUAUAGUUCUGUACUGUCUGACAUGACCGGUAUUGUCGUGUGUAACCGGAGCUAUAUAAAUACACACCGACUCUAUGUGUUACCAGUACACUAGCCUAGAAACCUAUACGUUUUGUUUGAUUAGCUUUCUGUGAGCUAGCAUUCUGGUGAACCUGGAAGUUGAGAUGUUUUUAACCCCAAAUGCCUGAGACCUGCUGUUCAUCUCAAUAGGGUUAUGGUUAUUGGUUAGGGUUAGGGUCGAGUAUGUAUACAUGGUAUCUCCCAUGCCAGCUCCUGCCGGUCCACCUGCAGAAAGCAGAGCCACAGCGCCAUCUGGUGGACAGCAAGUGUACGACUCCAAAGCGACAAUGCUGUCGGAAUUCUACAACCGUAGGAGCAUGCAGUCCCAUGAAGAGACUGUGGUCACUCUUGUCACGUGUGUGAAGGAAACUGAAGAGAGGAGAGAAGACAAGCUGGUGUUUCACCUCCAAACUUUCACUUCUUACAUAUAGUGGUACUGUGAGUUGCACAAAAGAGUCCUUGUUUCACACGCUGUAAACCCAAUCAAUUCAGAAUCCGUCGUCGAUUCAGAAUCUUUUGUGCCACCUGAUUGUAUCAAACAAUUUCAGUAAUCUAAUCUAAAUCGAAUGUAUUUAAUUAAAUACGAAUUUAUACAAUCUAUUGAUUGAUCGAAUUACCUGUUUUGAUUAUUUACUCAAGAGAUUCGAAUACCAAACAGUUUGAUGUCAUCAGUCUCCCCAGAAGUUUAGAGUUUUUUUUUACUACACACACAUGUUAUCACACUUCUCCUACACUCCCUGAUCUCCAGUAAAAACAAGCCGAGUGUCUCUAAAUCUCUCCGAGUUCCUCAUAUUCAUUCUCUCUUGAUUGGGAGGAAAACAUUUUUGAGUCACUGUGGAGAUACCCAACAGACCGAUUUAUCCGUGUUGUUAAAUUAAUCUACAACGUGUCCGCAGCCUCCUCCCACACUUCCUCUGUGAUCCAGAGGUGAGCGACGGCCAGAGUUCGACCAAUGAGGAACCAAUACCAACUCUGUGGUCCUCUUCAGGUCAUCUGGUCGUGUUCACCACAUAUGAAACUGGCAUUAAUCGAUCAAUUAACCGCUUUCUAACGGUUUUGUUAAUGUACUUGUUUUUGUGGAUUUAUUAUUUUGUUGUUCUUUGUGACACUGUUUGCAAUACAAAUCAAACGAGUUUGACCUUGACGCUUACAUUCUUACAGUAAUAGAUGUAGUCAGUGAGUGAGUCUGGUCACAUGACACAAACGAGCCAGUGUGAUAGGCGAGAGUCCUGCAGCCUCACAGUCUAAUCAGUUAGGCCGUUGGAACCUUGAAAAAACCCGGCUGAAUAGCUCCUCUAAUAGCUACAAUUGGUAGUGGAGGAUAAACAAGGAACAAUGGCAUUCCAGACCCGUGCAGAUAUUCUCCUAAACCCACGUCGCCUCAGCACCAGGGUUGCCCGUCAGUAACAUCCCAGACACCAGGAGUCAGAUCACCUUUUCCUGCUGACGCGCCCAAUCUCCUGCUCCACAUCAGCACACGACAACAGAACAUGCAGACUUGCAGGGGAACCAAAACCAGUAAUAGGGGAACAGGCUAAGGUCCCAUUCCGCUUCAGACGGACUCUAUUGAUGUGCUAAUAGG